GUGUCAGCCGCCGCGGUAAUACGGAGGGUCCAAGCGUUAAUCGGAAUUACUGGGCGUAAAGCGUGCGCAGGCGGUUUGUUAAGCGAGAUGUGAAAGCCCCGGGCUCAACCUGGGAAUUGCAUUUCGAACUGGCAAACUAGAGUCUUGUAGAGGGGGGUAGAAUUCCAGGUGUAGCGGUGAAAUGCGUAGAGAUCUGGAGGAAUACCGGUGGCGAAGGCGGCCCCCUGGACAAAGACUGACGCUCAGGCACGAAAGCGUGGGGAGCAAACAGGAUUAGAUACCCUGGUAGUCCACGCCGUAAACGAUGUCUACUCGGAGUUUGGUGUCUUGAACACUGGGCUCUCAAGCUAACGCAUUAAGUAGACCGCCUGGGGAGUACGGCCGCAAGGUUAAA
rnacentral:rRNA from 1 species